rnacentral:lncRNA from 1 species
UGUGUGAGUAGCAAAAUAUACAGUUGUUACAAUUUGCAUAAUUUAAAGUGACAGUUUGGUUCGUUUAAAGUUACAAUUUCGUCAUUUAAAGUAACAAUUUGGAUGAUUUAAUAGUUAUCCCACGAUGACGCGGUGUGUCAGUGUAAGAUCAUCCCGAUGGCCGGAGGCCAGAGGAUGAUCUAACACUGACACACCAAGUCCGAGUGGGAUAACUAUUUUACAUCCCAGCUGUUUUAGAUUAAACGAAAAACCAUUUAUAAUUCAUAAAAUCUAGUUUAGAACGCCAC